UACGGGGGGGGCAAGCGUUGUUCGGAAUUACUGGGCGUAAAGGGUUUGUAGGUGGCCCGCUAAGUCACACGUGAAAUCCCUCAGCUUAACUGGGGAACUGCGUGUGAGACUGGCAGGCUUGAGUGCAGGAGAGGAACGCGGAAUUCCAGGUGUAGCGGUGAAAUGCGUAGAUAUCUGGAGGAACACCGGUGGCGAAGGCGGCGUUCUGGACUGUAUCUGACACUGAAGAGCGAAAGCCAGGGGAGCAAACGGG
rnacentral:rRNA from 1 species